rnacentral:rRNA from 1 species
GCAAGUCGAGGGGUAACAGGGAAGCUUGCUUCUGCUGACGACCGGCGCACGGGUGAGUAACGCGUACACGACCUACCUUCAAGAGGGGGAUAGCCUAUGGAAACGUAGAUUAAUACCCCAUGUGAUUAUUGUUGUAAGAAUGAUAAUUAAAGUUCCGGCGCUUGAAGAUGGGUGUGCGUCCCAUUAGUUAGUUGGUAAGGUAACGGCUUACCAAGACGAUGAUGGGUAGGGGGCGUGAGAGGCGUGGC